ACUCAAAUGAAUUGACGGGGACCCACACAAUCGGUGGAUUAUGCGGUUUAAUUCGAUGCAACGCGAAGAACCUUACCAGGGUUUGACAUGCCAAGGAUCCUUCAGAAAUGGAGGAGUGCUUCUUUUAUAGAGAAGAACUUGGGCACAGGUGGUGCAUGGCUGUCGUCAGCUCGUGCCUUGUGGUGUACGGUUAAGUCCCAAAACGAGCGCAACCCUCGUCUUUAGUUAAAUUUCUCUAAAGAGACUGCCAGUGUAAACUGGAGGAAGGUGAGGAUGACGUCAAGUCAGCAUGCCCCUUACACUCUGGGCGACACGCGUAAUACAAUGGUUGGGACAAUCAGUUGCGAUCUUGCGAAAGCUAGCUAAUCUGUUAAACCCAAUCUCAGUUCGGAUUGCAGGCUGCAACUCGCCUGCAUGAAGCCGGAAUCGAUAGUAAUCGACCAGUCAGCUAUAUGGCGGUGAAUACGUUCCUGGGUCUUGUACACACCGCCCGU
rnacentral:rRNA from 1 species